ensembl:misc_RNA
UAGUCCAAAAGGUCUUUCCUGUUUACUAUGGCCUUGAGGAAUGUGGCCCUAGAUCC